ACACGCUUACGACGCAGAGUUUAAGCUCAAGGCGAUCAGUCACGCAGUAGAACACGGGAAUAGAGCAGCAGCGAGAAAAUUUAACAUGAACGAAUCAAUGGUGCGGAAGUGGAGGAAGCAACAAGAUGACCUGCGUCAAGUAAAGAAGACUAAACAGAGUUUCCGAGGGAACAAAGCGAGAUGGCUACAGUUGGAGGACAAACUCGAACAGUGGGUUGUUGAACAGAGAGCAGCAAGUAGAAGUGUCAGUACAAUCACUAUUCGAAUAAGGCAACAGCGCUAGCACGCGAACUUAUUAAUGAAUUUAGAGCCGGUCCUUCUUGGUGCUUUCGGUUUAUGAAAAGACGUAAUCUCUCCAUCCGCACACGAACGAAUACCACGUCACUGACUUUACCUCGGGGAAAAUAAUAAAACAGCUGUUUAUUCAGUUUGGGAAUGAACGGAGUUUUCAGAACGCUGGUUUGUAAUCUAUUAAUAAAGUUUGACUGACCUAUCUGACUAUUUUGUUGACAUUCCCUUUAGUGCAGUUCCAUCUAAUGGAUGCAUAACGUAACCCCAGCCUCUACUGUAGCAUCUAUUCUAUGCGCCUUAUAAUGCGGUGCACCUUAUAGUGCAGAAAAUACGGUAGUUGAAAUAUGCCAGUAUGACAUUCCCACAGUAGGAUAACCUUAGAACUGUCACAGUAUUUAUCCACACACAAGCACAAAAGAACCAUGCAUAACAUUUUGUAAUUGCUUUUACUUAAAAUAUUGUAAGAAAAUGAAUUUUAUAGAUUCAAAAAGUGAAAUUUAUAUCUGGAUUGGCGUAUCAGAUUUUAUGAUAUAUAUUGCGAUACUUAUAAAAAUUCCGACAAAAACUAAAGCUUAAAGUCAGUCGCUGUCUUUGCAGAUACUUCUAUUGCACACAGUUAAUAGUGCUCUAAAUGUAACAUACACAUUAUAACAUAAGCCACAUUAGCUGUAGUAAGCAGGCCAACUGUAUGGCUAAUCGCCACGCGAUAAUCGUAUUCAAACAUAUUUUCAAAUGCAUAUUUAUGGAUGCUUUACUGGAACCAACAGGGAAAGUUGGGAGAUAGGGUUUUCCCCUCUAUUUAACACAGGCAUCUAUUGCAGCCAUUUGUUUCUGCUAGUUUAGAUGACAGGCACGAAGCUAUUGAAAGGACUUUGGCCCCACCACACUUUUUUUUCUUCCACUCGAUUUUCCAUUAGCUUGCUAGGAUACAGCACAGCGUGAGCAGGCAGCUUCUUUAACAAUGGCUUUUUGCGGCUUGCCCUGCUUGUGGAUGGAGUCGAUAACCUAAUCCUGUCAAGUCGUCGCUCAUAAAUAGCAUUUCAGUAUUUUUCUCUCACUGGUUGUGAAAUGUAAAAAUCUUUUGAGAGACUAAUAAGUUUUGGUUUAUUAAAGUUGCGGAGAAUUGUCAUGAAAUUUUGUACCACAUAAACACUUUUUUUUUUUCUUUUCAGAUUAGUUGCCACAAGCAUUGAGAUACUUGCUUGUGGCAACUGGAAAAAAAACAACCUAAAAUCUCCUAGGAUAAUUUAUUGCUGUGAAAUGUGAUGCAUUGUACAUUAGUAGUCGCCAGGCAGUCUGACACAGAUCUGACUGCCUAUUCUGUUUUGUCUAUUUAUGAAACGUAAUUUAUGAUUUCCUACUAAAAUAAGGGUGCUUUUUAAAGAAGGUGUCGCGUAUCUUAAGUGAUUCAUGGGAGUCCGUCCUUUAGAGUUGUCGCUGCCUUACAGAAUUUGUGUCCAAAUCAAGUGAAGUCGACCUAAUGUGUGAUGCAGAUCAAUUUAGUCCAAGGACGAAGCCUAGUGACGAUGAAUGUAUGUGUGAAGCACAACCGAUAUGUUCACUUUUUAACUGAUGUGCCUUCAAUAAACCAGAAUGCUCACAGUAAAAA